rnacentral:misc_RNA from 1 species
GUAGAUAGAUGUUACCAAUGCAUUUUACGUCCCCCCAUGUUGUUUCCAAGCACGAAGAAACGACUAUGGCGUUGUCGCGUCAACAAUUCGAGCGGUACUACGACUUCUUCCAGCUGCCAGAAUCACUGUCCGCAAACGCGUUGCCACCAGCAGCAGCAGCAUCUGCAUCCUUAUCCGCCAGUCCAGAACAGAAAUUGCGCGAACGACGAACGAAACGUUUGUUACGAAAGCGCGAGUCCUUCCAAGUUUCCAGAAGACGAAGAUCAGACAAUGAGCUCAGUAGGGUCCGGGAACGAGAUGAACAACACACCGCCACGGAUCCCAAAAAGUCCAACGGCGACAACAAUGAUUGGUUCGGCAGCGACCAGUGUAUUUCGGAAUUGUUGUCCAGGGGGAGGUGGCGGCAGUCGUGGUGGUGCAGUAGACGACGAGAAGAAACUGUUCCAGGCAUUUCUGGACAAAUUGUCGAGACCUCAACAGACAAAAUUGCUACAAGCAAUGGAGAAUGGUGGCUCGAUCGAUGGUCGAACAACGGAUUGUGUCCUUAUUCAACGCGAAGCCAUCAUGAAAGAGGAACCGAAUGUGAUUGCAUGUCGCUUUUGGCGUUGGCCAGAUUUGCAAUGUGCAACAGAACUGAAAAGGAUACCAGAGUGCCCGAACAACGCCGAUCCUGUGUAUAUUUGUUGCAAUCCGUAUCAUUGGGGACGACUCUUUUUUGCAGAUACUCCCCCUCCUCCUUAUCAACUUUACGACAUAGGCAGUCAAAACGUAGAAGGCCUUCUGUCAAGCGAAAGCAUGGAAGAGGGUUCCGAUCCCCCAGAAUCUUUACCUACUGACGGCGGAGAUUCAUUACAUCCGACGGGAUGGUGUCAAUUAGCUUAUUGGGAGCAAGCUCAACGUGUUGGUGAUAUAUUUCCCGUUGAAAAUUCAUUUGUGAAUGUAUUUUAUGAUCAGCCACGUGGGGAUGGUAUGUGUUUGAAAAUUUUAUCUAAUCAACGGAAGUCUGAAACUCCAGAAGCUGUUAAUAAAGUUAGACAAAAAAUUGGUUUAGGUGUAACACUUAGUCAGGAGACUGAUAGCGUUUGGUUGUACAAUCGCUCGUCAGAAGACAUUUUUAUAUAUUCGCCAACGCUAAACAAGGCUGAUGGUCGAUUUCGCGUUUCGAAAGUACUACCCGGCUACUGCCUUAAGGCCUACAAUUAUAGGGCUAUGUCACAAACAUUAUUGUGGCCAAAACAUAUAGCCGGUGCUCAAAUGGGCCCUGUCGAUACGUUUAGUAUGAGAAUUAGUUUUGUCAAAGGAUGGGGAAGUGGUUAUAAACGUCAGGAUGUUACUUCAUGUCCUUGCUGGCUUGAAGUGCUGCUAACACGACGGUGACGCCUUCUAACAAACCAAAUUUUUUUUAUUUUCUAUAAAAAAGAUAUAAAAAAGCAAAUGAAAAACAAAGAAUGAAACUAAUCACUUUUAAAAACGCCUUAAAAAAAUUAGAAAAUCGAAUCGAAGACGAUUUUUUUUAUAUAUAUAUAAAAUUUCAAUGAACGAAUGAUGUUCCCUAAUAUGCGACUGGUGGUCAUAGAGUUUCUAUGGAUUAGAAGAUAUGUUUUUAGUUUGAAACAACAUCGAAUUAUGAGUUAUGUUUUAUUCUUUAUCUUAGUUUCCCAAUGAAUUUGUUUUUGUUAUUUUACAUUGUCGUCCAGUCAGACCUUUUUUUUAAAUUCAAAAAGCAAGUAGACGUUUUUUUACUUUCAUUUGUUAGAUGUAUAAAGAACAAAACAAAACUAAUACAAUUUGUACAUAUAAAUAAUAACUACGGAAAAGAAUGUGAGAAAAAAAUAUGGAGACAAAUCGUGAGAUAAGUGUAACGCUAUAAGUUUACAUAAAUCCAAUGAUAAGAAGACAGAAAACACGAAGGAAAACUGUUGAAAUUUUCUUGAGACCUAGUCUGUUGUUGAGCCCAUGAGCGCAAGUGUUUAUAUAUGAUACAUAGAGCUAAGACGCGUGCAUUGAAUUUAACUAUUCUGAUGUAAAAUAUUUAAAAUUACAUUUGUAAACAGCAGCAACGGCGAAAAAAAAACACAAAACAAAUGAGAUACAAUAUAAUACUCUGUCCGUACCUACCAUACAAACACAGGAAUAUUGCAAAAAAUGGUAUAAAUCAGCAAAGAUAUACUAACGUAAACACACAAGACGUUAAUGCAACAAAUGAUGGAAAACAUAACUUGAGAACUGAGUGAUUCAAAAACGAAUGGAAGAACAACAGUAAAGCUAAACGAAAACGUGAAGCAGCAACACGAAAAUAUAAAAUAAAAUUGAAAAAAAAAGUGGAAACGCAUAUAUAUCAAAACAAAAAUGCCUGCAAUCUCGUUAUUCUUCUACUUCUUUUUCAAGAUAGAUUACUAAUAGAUAAUUCACUCAUUUGUAUGAUUGUAUGUACUCACAGAUUUCAAUUCCAAUUUGCAUAUUGUGAUAUUUAUAUUUAUUUUCUUUAAUUGCUUUUUCGCUUUUGAUGUUGAUAAUGAUAGAGUGAUGUUGAUGAUGAUUCUGAACAUGUAGUAGUCAAAGUGAACAGUAAGAAUGUUAAUUUCUAUAAAGAAUUCUAUGCAUAACAGUGAUCCGAAUUCAUCUAGUUAAAUUCAAUCAAUUUAGCUAUUUUUUUAAAUGUAUGCACGGAAUAUACAUGAAGAGAACUUUAAUUUUUAAGUUUUCUUUAUUUUGAAAAAUAGGCUUGGAAAAAUGUUGAGCUACAAUCAGAAAACGACAAAAAAUCGCUCCUUUCAUUCCCGUGAUUUCUCUUAUUCACAUUUAUUUUCCUCCAAUGUUAUGUUCUGUCUAUGAAAUUUCUCCGAAGCGAUCAAUUCAAAUUCAGUUCAAUCUUUCCGGUGACACAAAAUUCAAGUCAAAUUCAACAAUAUUUUCUCGGUGUUUGCUAAUUUACUUUCUUCCUCAAAUCUAAAAAAACAACUGAUCGUUUGCUAGAUAUUCAAAAUUUAUCUAGCAGAUGUUCAGAUGAAUUUCAGGAAAAAAGUAAAUUAUCUUCCAUUGUCCGAGCAAUUAAGAAAACAUUCUCCAUCUUAAUUUCAAGAUGUUCUGUCCAAUAAUUUGCAUUCUUGCAGUUUCCCCAGAGUAAUAUGUAGUUGAAUUUUUUAUAGACUGUUAUCAUUGGAAAUGAGAAUUGUUACGAGAGACCAAAAACCUUAUUUUUGGACGUGAAAUAAUUGUAAUUAUUCAGUCAUUUUGAAGCUGAAAUUAUCAUAUAUUCGGCGAAAAAAAGAGACUCCAAAAUAAUCUGACUGCGAAUGGAGAUUGAUGGAUCGUAAUGUCAAGACAAACAAUAAUUCCAUAAUUACGAUCCUUCGAAGAUGUCCUUGGAUGCAUGUCGAAGCUCACGCAUUCUUUAUGGAGCACUACCUGUUGUUCCGGAUACUGUGCAAGUCCUUUUGCUGGUAUACUCAUAUAUGAACUUAAUCUCUCUAUCUCUGCUUAAUUGUAUCAUUUAUACAAUUACAGGCACUUUAGAGGGAAACGUCAUGUAGUAAGUAACCAGACAAAGGAUUCUUAUAAUUUCAAUUUUGAUACAUAUUUCUAUCGAAACUUGAGAAAUCUAGCUGUCAAUCAACAAUCAAGUCUCGAAGAAGGUUCCCCUAAGAAAAGAAGAAAUUGACGGCGGUAACUGAAGAAUAGUUUUCAGGAAAAAAUAAAGAAAAAAAAUUAAUAAAAAUUCAAAAGUGAGCAAGAAAAAUAGAAGAAGAAAGAAGAAUACAAAUAUUUAUUUCAGUUUCAUACGGGCUGAAGCUGUAAAAGUCAAGAACUUCGAACGAACGAAUUGUUUCUCUCUGGAUAAUUUAGUUAACAGUGUUUUCGAUGUUUUUAAAAUCAAGAAUCAAGUCCAGUUCUCAAUGAA